UCCGGAGAUUAGCUCAGCUGGUAGAGCUACGCUGUUACAACGAUCGGUCGUAGGUUCGAUUCCUACUGCGGAGCCA
rnacentral:tRNA from 1 species